rnacentral:rRNA from 1 species
CCCUUAGAUGUCCGGGGCUGCACGCGCGCUACACUGUAGAAAGCAGCGUGCUUUAAAACCUUUCCUGAAAAGGAUGGGUAACCCCAGCAAAACUCUACGUGCUUGGGAUAGAGAUUUGCAAUUUUCUCUCUUGAACGAGGAAUUCCCAGUAAGUGCAAGUCAUCAGCUUGCGCUGAUUACGUCCCUGCCCUUUGUACACACCGCCCGUCGCUACUACCGAUUGAAUGGUUUAGUGAGAUCUCUGGAUUGACGCUGGCUAGGGGGCGACCCUUGGCCAGACUGUUGAGAAACUGCUCAAACUUGAUCAUUUAGAGGAAGUAAAAGUCGUAACA